CUCCAAUCCGCAACCCAUUUCCCCCCCUUAAUUCAAUGAACUGGAGAUUAAUAGUAAGACAAGUCUCUUCUCGAUGCUGUGGAUGAUCGAACACUGUUGAGGGUGUCUUGCAAUCCAUUCGACUCGAAGCUUCGUCUCGUGAUCGAGGAGGACGGGACUCUGCCUGCCUCAGCUCCGCCUUGGCCUGAGGUUUUCUCCCAAGGCUAGGUCCCUACCAAUCUGCUUUGUUUUGGAAUGUUGACAAUUAUUUUGAACACACUUCUUGUCUGACUUUUGCAACCAGAUCGGCGGCCAUACCUUAGCAGACACUGGAAGCGAUUCCAAUGUCACAGUCCUGCAAGUGACUGGAGUUAGGAUCCACUUCAAGCCUGUUGGCUUUGGUGAACAUGAACGUCUGCCACACAAUACACUACAUGACCAACCGAACCUUGGGAAGCUCUGCGCAAGACACUCGAAGAUGGCUUUCCUAAAAGCUUAGUAAGUUUAUCAUAAAAUCCACUUUCUGUUGACAUAGGUAAAACAAAUAUAUGUAAUUUCAGGGAUGAAUAAAGAUCAUUGCAUGUUUUAUUGGUGAAAGAUCAUCAAAGCAUACAUGCAAUUAACCA